GAUGAACGCUGGCGACGUGCCUAAUACAUGCAAGUCGAGCGAAUGGAUUAAGAGCUUGCUCUUAUGAAGUUAGCGGCGGACGGGUGAGUAACACGUGGGUAACCUGCCCAUAAGACUGGGAUAACUCCGGGAAACCGGGGCUAAUACCGGAUAACAUUUUGAACCGCAUGGUUCGAAAUUGAAAGGCGGCUUCGGCUGUCACUUAUGGAUGGACCCGCGUCGCAUUAGCUAGUUGGUGAGGUAACGGCUCACCAAGGCAACGAUGCGUAGCCCACCUGGGAGAGUGAUCGGCCACACUGGGACUGAGACACGGCCCAGACUCCUACGGGAGGCAGCAGUAGGGAAUCUUCCGGAAUGGACGAAAGUCUGACGGAGCAACGCCGCGUGAGUGAUGAAGGCUUUCGGGUCGUAAAACUCUGUUGUUAGGGAAGAACAAGUGCUAGUUGAAUAAGCUGGCACCUUGACGGUACCUAACCAGAAAGCCACGGCUAACUACGUGCCAGCCGCCGCGGUAA
rnacentral:rRNA from 1 species